rnacentral:rRNA from 1 species
UACGAAGGGUGCAAGCGUUAUCCGGAUUUAUUGGGUUUAAAGGGUGCGUAGGCGGCUUUGUAAGUCAGUGGUGAAAUAUGGCAGCUCAACUGUCAGGGUGCCAUUGAUACUGCAGAGCUUGAGUACAGAUGAGGUAGGCGGAAUUGACGGUGUAGCGGUGAAAUGCUUAGAUAUCGUCAAGAACACCGAUAGCGAAGGCAGCUUACUGGGCUGUAACUGACGCUGAGGCACGAAAGUGUGGGGAUCAAACAGG